UACGGAGGGAGCUAGCGUUGUUCGGAAUUACUGGGCGUAAAGCGCGUGUAGGCGGCAGGGCAUGUCGGAUGUGAAAUCCCGUGGCUCAACCACGGAAGUGCACCCGAAACUGCCCAGCUUGAGUCUCGGAGAGGAAGGCGGAAUGCUUGGUGUAGAGGUGAAAUUCGUAGAUAUCAAGCGGAACACCGGUGGCGAAGGCGGCCUUCUGGACGAUGACUGACGCUGAGACGCGAAAGCGUGGGGAGCAAACAGG
rnacentral:rRNA from 1 species